rnacentral:rRNA from 1 species
UACGGAGGGGGCAAGCGUUACUCGGAAUUAUUGGGCGUAAAGGGCGCGUAGGCGGUCGUGUGCGUCGAGGGUGAAAUCCCCGGGCUUAACCCGGGAGCUGCCUUCGAUACGGCACGGCUUGAGUCCGGGAGAGGGGAGCAGAAUUCCCAGUGUAGCGGUGAAAUGCGUAGAUAUUGGGAGGAAUACCGGUGGCGAAGGCGGCUCUCUGGGACGGUACUGACGCUGAGACGCGAAAGCGUGGGGAGCGAACAGG